AUGUCGGCACCAACACCUACUCCCUGUGGUUCCAAGAGUGCGAGAGGCAACGGGAAUGGUGUCGACAGGCUCAGCAGCCUGUCCGACGAUAUGCUCCACCUUGUGAUGUCCUUCCUGCCGAUGCCAGAGGUCGUGCGCACAAGCCUUCUCUCACCAAGAUGGCGCUUUCUUUGGUGCUCUACACCCUUCAUCCGCAUCGACGGCGAAGACUUCGUGGAUAAUCGCAAGCUGGAGAAUUUCAUUGACUGCUUGCUGCUCUUGCGUGACUAUACCGCUUCCUUGGAUGAAGCCCGAAUCUCUCCCUGCUGCGUUGAUUGUACCAAAUGUUCCGUGUGGAUUCGCCAUGCCAUCAUGCACAAAGUUCGUCUCCUUGAUAUUUCUGGACCUCUCAGUUUGGAUAAGACAGCAAUAUUUCCUUCUCAGCACCUCAAAACAAUCAGGCUCCAAGCUGCCAUGUUGAGACAUGGGUUUUUUAGGCCGUUGAACUACGACUGCCCUGUGCUUGAACAUUUAGGGCUGGAGUUGUGCACUUUCUGGGGCCAUGAGGAGAUCUCAUCAAGGUCGCUCAAGGUUCUGCAUAUCAGUCGGUGCUACCUCACCCCCAGUCUCCUGAUUUGUGCUAGGAACCUUACCAAUCUCUCUAUCCUUGACACAGACAUUGGUGGUAUAGUAACUAGGGAUCUGUCUUCUCUGGUAACAGCUUCGAUCAGUCUAAUAUCCAAACAUUUUUAUCAUAGUGACACAGUAGUAGUGGGGCAUCAUCUACUUGAUGGCCUUUCACAUGCCACAACGUUGGAGCUGCAUGCGCCAUUACAUGAGCGUGCAUUUGAGAGAGGUUUGCCAACAUGCCCCAUGUUCAGCAAUCUGACAAGCUUGGUCCUGGGAGAUUGGGUCAUGACUGCUGACUUCUACCCACUGCACAGUAUUCUCCAGCGCUCGGACAAUCUGAAGGAGCUAACUGUGAAGCUCAAAAUGGAGGAGUGCAGCAUAUGCAAAGCCUUGCCGUUAACAAGGAGAGCGUCGCUGUCGGGCUCAGGCAGCCACCCUUGCAUCGAGAGGAUCAAAAUCUACUGCCAGAAAGAUCAUCUGAGGGUCGGUGAGCUGGUGCAGGCGUUGGUACCGACUGCCUGCAAUGCGAAAGUCAGCAUCGAGCGGCCCUGA
rnacentral:rRNA from 1 species